rnacentral:rRNA from 1 species
GUGAUCUAUCAUAGCUUUGACAGUGCGGAGGAUGACCCAUAUGGCUACUAUGCUCAGGAGUUUUUGAAUGGAUUGACUCCUAAUGGUCUUCCUCCGCAUGCUCUCAAGCUAAAGCUGAACUGCCCUGUCAUACUUCUACGGAACAUUGAUCCAGCUAAUGGACUGUGUAAUGGCACUAGGCUUGUUGUUAGAGGUUUUGAGAGGAACACCAUUGAUGCAGAAAUCGUAGUUGGACAACACGCUGGCAGGAGGGUCUUCCUUCCUCGAAUCCCUCUCUGCCCAUCUGAAAAUGACAUGUUUCCGUUCAAGUUUAAGAGGAAGCAAUUUCCAAUAAGGCUUAGCUUUGCUAUGACCAUUAACAAGGCUCAAGGG